UCUUUUGAAGCUACACCCUGGGGAGAGCCCCAUUGUUUACUAAUUAGCUAUUCCUGGAAACUCCAGGUCAAAGACUCCCUGGGCUUUAUAAGGGGACUAAAAACGUUGUGAAUGUGCUUGUUCUGAGCUGAAGCUGUGAUGAACCUGUGACCACAAAGGAAACUCUUGGGAUGGGGUGUUCAAGGUCUGCUUCAUUCUGACAGAACCCAUGUUAGAGUUGGAGUGAUGUCUGAUGUAGAGACUGAGACUCAGGGAGGUAAUCUUAUCUACAGUCCCCUGAAGUCAACAUUGGGUCUUUCCACUAGAAACACCCCAGAACAACUGACCUUAAGGGGAAGAAUUUUAAAGCUGGGAACCUUCCAGUGAAAGAAGGCAAACAAUAACACACGCAGACCAGUUGUUCUGAGGACAAGACACUUGCCGACCUACAGGCAGAAAAGGGGAUGGCUGAGCCCCAUGUUAAUUUUUGGAGGGGUUCCCUGACUCCCGGCUUCUCUCAUAUACCUUUUGGAGUUUUUCUGCCUCAGUUGAAAAGAGUAAGCAGCAGCAGUUCCAUGUUUGUUGCUGGCAAACAGCAUGUAUAUUUUGAGUGUAGGCGCCUGUCAGACCAGAUGGCAUGAUUUUUAAAGGUGCUGAGCUUUGAAGGUAGUUUCAUUAUUUCUGAAAAAUAAGGCUAAGAUCUAUAAUAGCCAAAUGCAGAGAUUUGGAUAUUCACAAUACUAUCAACGAGACUAUACAGCAAUUAUACAAGUCCCUGUACUCUCAUUGGCUAAUAAUGGCUGCUAGACAAUCGGAGUACAUAGCUUUGCAUAGUGUAUGACAAUUAAGAAUCUCAGUAUUUAUGCAACAGCCAGAGUGCAAAGGAAACACAACUGGGAAAAAUGUGCUGUUAUAUAUCAUUAUAGUAACUGUACAGCAAUCUGGUGUAGACCAUUCCAUUUCAGUAUAAUAUCCAGUAAGCACUUGGUUUCAUCAUAAGCUACAAAAUAUACAUUUUUCCACCCCGAAUUAUAUGAAUUUUGGCAGGAAAAAAAGACAUUAACUUCCAUCCCAAGCUGUCAGAAUUCAUUUUAAAAAACAUUUCCUUCUUUGAUAAGUCACAAGGGACAAAUCUGGAAAUAUACAGAGCCAUGUUUAAGUUGACUUACUCCCGGUCCCACCCCAUUAGCUACUAUGGUAUUGGCUGGAGGAGUGAGUUAACUAGGAACUUGGCCCACAGUUUGAACAGUCUUCGCAGCACAAAAUAUUCCUUUUUUGUGUGUAUGUUGUUGUGUUUUAAAAAUUCUCUCUUGACCUGAAAAACCUUUGAAAGGCACAGUUUAAUUAGGGACAUAACCCAGAGCUCACACAGCCCAAUUCUUUUAAUUUUGAUUCAAUAGAAUAGGUACAUCUCUAAAUGAGAUGACAUGCUUUUCCAAAAGUGGCUUUAUCAAAUUUUGCUACACUAUCAGGAGUCUCAGAACAUUAGGUUUUCUACUCAACCCAAAACACCCUCAUGAACAUUUCCUCUGGAAGUUUGCCAUACAUUCCAGAAAUUUGCUUACAAUUAAAUAUUCUUAGCAAGCAAGUUCAAAGUAGAGCGAUUUUUCACAUUCCACAUUGUGUUGAGUAACAUUUUGUUUUGUACUCACAAUUUGCUAUUGCUUUCCACAGGAGAUUGUAAUACCAUCCAGAUGUUGUGGUUUUGAGGCACAGGUAUUCAAUUUUGGUUCUAGAGAUUUCACAAUCAAUUAAAAAAAACCCCAACAACAAUGAAAAUCUACAAUCAGAUAAUUCUCAAGACCAACUGGAGUAACCCCAGAAACUGAUCUCAGAUCCUCCCUUUCCUAAGGUAACAGUUGCUGGAUAUGUGGGGAUAGCAGCUUUGGAGAAGGUCUAUCUAGGCUUUUAGACUGUCAGACACUAUAGUAUCUGAACACCUUGCAAGGUUUAGAGAAACGGAAAGCUAGUCUGCAGCCCUCUUCAUCUCUCUCAUGAGGCUAACCUAAAGAAACACUUCGUACUUUGGUGUUCUGUUGUUCUUUCUCAGGGCUUAUCUUCAUGAACUUUUAGUUCACAGCAAGCUGGGGUGUAAAUCUACCCUGCAAUAGCCUACCGUGCACACUCCAUGUAGAUCUUGCUGCUGUGCACUCAGAGUUCCUUACUGCACUUUGAUCUGCACUGCUUUGAAACAGGACUAAAUGUUCAUGUGUACAAUCCCUCAAAGACAUGAUACAAAAAACACUGGGGAAAAAAAAGAUAGGCACUACUGAAGGGCAACCGCCUUGAAUGGCAGCAACAGCAACCACUGCUGGAACUUUAACUGAGAAGAGUUUAUAUGCUGAUAAGUAUAAUGUAACAACAAAUGUAGAUAUUUGUAAAGGAAAUAAAAGUUUUCCUUAGCUGUGA